GGAGGGGCGGGGCCAUCUGCUGCAACCGGUUGGGAUGAGAGAAGGAAAACAGGAUAAAGACAUGCUGUGGAAGAGAGCCAGAGAUUAAUAACAGAUAUGAUUCAGUGAAGAGAGGUCUAUUAACACAUAGUGAGUGAGAAAGGUGACUGGAAAGGAAAAACUCAAUGCACCAUGGGAAUCCCCCGGCAGCCUACAUCUAUUGCAGCAUAACUAAGGGAGGAUUCAGGGUCACCUGAUCCAGCCCUAACUAUAUGCUUUAGCAAACUGGAAAGUCUGAAGUCUAAUCUUAAAAGUAGAGAUAGUGUCUGUCUCCUGAAUCCAAACCAGAAGCUGGUUUCACAGAAGAGGGGCCUGAAAACUGAAGGCUCUGCCUCCCAUUCUACUUUUAAAUACUCUAGGAACAACAAGUAGGCCUGCAGUGCGAGAGCGAAGUGCUCUAAUAGGGUUAUACAAGGUCUAUACUACAAGGUCAUUAAGAUAAGAUGGGGCCUGAUUAUAAAGCGCCUUGAGGCGACUGUUGUUGUGAUUUGGCGCUAUAUAAAUAAAAUUGAAUUAAAUUGAAUUGAAUUGAAUUAUUUAAGACCUUGUAUGUGAGGAGCAGGAUUUUGAAUUCAAUUCUGGAUUUAACAGUUUAGCAGUCCGCCGGACCAAGGAAGAAAUAGAGAGAGCGUCGACGGGUGCAGUAAUUUUUACUUUGAGAUUCAUUCAGAAUCUAACAGUGCUGAGGUACGCCAAUGCACCGUGAAAACUAAACAGAAACACAAAAUACAUUUUCUUAGACGCUUAUUACAAAUAUGAACUCAAAUAAAGCAGAAAAUACAACAAAAUAUCAACUAAGCAAUCAAAUACAACUUAAAACAUGUACCUCGCUCCGCAUUCCAAGGGCUGCAAAUUGUAAUUUUCGCUAGAGUCCGGUAUCACGCUGCUUCACGCUUCAUCGAGAGCUGCCUACUGGCACAUGUGCGCCACAAAACCGGUCUGAGUUGGAAGUGAAGCUUGCCGCUAACUAAGCGACAGAGCCCUCUACUGGACACUACGAGUAGCUGUUCAGGCUUAGAUCAAUAAACAAAACUGGACCUUUACACUCCCACCAAAUCAUGUAUAACAAACAACAUUCUAUACAUCAUUUCCAGACUUAACAUAUGGACAUUACUACAAGACCGAACACAAUUUCAAGCACAUCAUCAAUAAACCUUCGCAAAAAUACGCCUGAUGUGAUAGUAUUGAUUGAAACAUCAAUUAGUUAUUUUCUAAUAGAACUACAAGCUUUUGAACAGGUCGCUCAACUAUGUGAGGUUUGUGUGCUGUACCCUGCUUCUUUGUUAAGCUUCGAUCACCAACUUGAAGCUUGACUCUGCGGACCAAACCGUCAUCUUCUUCUGGUGCUUCAACCACUCGAGCCAGUUGCCACUGAUUUCUGGGAAGCAUGUCAUCUUUGAUAAUGACUAUGUCAUUGACCUUAAGAUUUCGACGUGGUACGUGCCAUUUCUGUCUCGUAGAUAUGUUCAGAAGGUACUCUCUUUUCUAUUUACUCCAAAACUGCUCAGUGAGAUACUGGACUCUAAACCAACGUUUCCUUGCAUAUAAGUCCUCUUUCACAAACUUUCCUGGUGGAGGCAGUGCAACCUUUGAUUUCAUCAAUAUGAGGUGAUUUGGAGUUAGAGGUUCAGGAGAUUUAGGAUCAUUGAUUCCAUCGACGCUCAGUGGUCGGCCAUUAACGAUAAACAUCGCCUCAUAGAAUAGAGUUCUUAGAGAGCUGUCAUCCAGCCUGCCUUGGCAUUGAGCAAUGGUGGCAUUGAGAAAAUUGCGGAUGGUUCGAAUCUGUCAUUCCCACACACCUCCGGCGUGGCUAGCAGAUGGGGCAUUGAAGACGAACUCACACUGUUUAUUGGCAAGGAAUGCUCCUAAGGCAUCUGUGUCACAUUGUUUAAGAGACUCCCUUAGCUCAUUUUUGGCUCCAAUAAAGUUUGUACCCUGGUCACUGUACAACUUACAAACAGCUCCUCUUAAGCUGAUGAAACAUCUCAGAGUGUUGAUGAAAGAGUCAGUAGAAAGAUCCUCAAGCAUCUCAAUGUGGACUGCACGUGAGGAAAGACAUGUAAAGAGGAGUCCGUAUCUUUUAUGCUCUUUGUGUCACGGCCUGCGGGAUCGGCAAGGUGCUGAACAGCAUCACUCCACUCCUAGCCCCCCUUCUCUCCUCUUUUUCCUCUCUCUCCCCUGUUUUGCCAGGGCGGAACUCAUGGCGGGUUCACGCCCUUGGUCCACGCCUUCUCGGAUUGUGCACACCUGGGCUUCAUCAGACCAGCUGGUAUAUCAGAAGGAGGAGAUCAGCUGUUCAACGCUGGAUUGUUGUGAAGGCUUCUAUUCCCCGGACCCGUUCCCGUGUUUCCCCGUGUGGUGUGUGGAAGGAGUGACAGGUCGCUAGUGGAGAGGAGAGAGGCUGUUUGGAGCGCGAGUGUGGUUUCCCCGUUUUCCCUGGAGCCCUGGACCCCUGCCCCUCACGUCUUGUAUAUAGCACUAACCCCGCACUGUCUAUACAUACACUCGGUGAAGAUUUGUAAUAAACUAUCUCUGUGUGAACGCUACCCAGGAGUCCUGCGAGUGGAUCCUCUAAGCAACCCGUGACACUUUGCGACCUUGUUUUGUGACAAAUGGUCCGAAACAGUCCAUUCCACAAUACAUGAAAGGAUCUGAGAUUUCAACUCGUUCCUUUGGAAGUUCAGACAUGCGUUGUUCUUCUGGUGAACGUCUUAGUUUUCGACAUUGAACACAUUUGGUUACAAGUUUUGCAACUUCCCUGCUCCCACCAAUCACCCAAAAUCCGUUUGAUCUGAUUUCCAUGAGAGUUUGGCUUCU
ensembl:lncRNA